rnacentral:rRNA from 1 species
CACGUAGGGGGGCGAGCGUUGUCCGGAUUUAUUGGGCGUAAAGAGCUCGUAGGCGGCUCAGUAAGUCGGGUGUGAAACCUCCAGGCUCAACCUGGAGACGCCACCUGAUACUGCUGGUGGCUGGAGUCCGGUAGGGGAGCGUAGAAUUCCUGGUGUAGCGGUGAAAUGCGCGAUAUCAGGGAGGAAUAGCCAGCGGCGAAGGCGGCGCUCUGGGCCGGUACUGACGCUGAGGAGCGAAGCGUGGGUAGCAAACGG